GCACGGAUGGCCGAGUGGUCUAAGGCGCCAGACUCAAGAUUUCACUUGCCACGCGAAAGUUGUUGAGCAUUCUGGCACUGGGAAGGGUGCGUGAGUUCAAAUCCCGCUCCGUGCA
rnacentral:tRNA from 1 species